rnacentral:rRNA from 1 species
GAUGAACGCUGGCGGCGUGCCUAAUACAUGCAAGUCGAGCGGACAGACGAGAAGCUUGCUUCUCUGAUGUUAGCGGCGGGCGGGUGAGUCACGCGUGGAUAACCUACCUAUCAGACUGGGAUAACUUCGGGAAACCGGAGCUAAUACCGGAUAAUAUUUUGAACCGCAUGGUGCGAAAGUGAAAGACGGUCUUGCUGUCACUUCUAGAUGCAUACGCGCUGCAUGAGCUGGUUGGUAAGGUAACGGCUUACCACGGCAACGAUGCAUAACCGACCGGAGAGAGUGGUAGCCCACCUGGGAAGGGAACCACGGUCAAGACGACUACGGGAGGCAGCAGUAGGCAAUCUUACGCAAUGGGCGGAAACCUUACGGAGUAACGCGGCGUGAGUGAUGAAGGUCUUCGGAUCGGAAAACUCUGUUACUAGGGAAGAACAGAUGUGUACGUAACUGUGCACAGCGUGACGGUACCUAAUCAGAAAGCCACGGCUAACUACGUG